CGCGUAGGUGGUUUGUUAAGUUGGAUGUGAAAGCCCCGGGCUCAACCUGGGAACUGCAUCCAAAAACUGGCAAGCUAGAGUACGGUAGAGGGUGGUGGAAUUUCCUGUGUAGCGGUGAAAUGCGUUGAUAUCCUGCAGAACACCGGUGGCGAAGGCGGCAUCCUGGGACGUUACUGACGCUGAGGCGCGAAAGCAGGGGGAGCAAACA
rnacentral:rRNA from 1 species